rnacentral:misc_RNA from 1 species
AAAGAAAUGGAAAAGACAAUAAUGAAGCUGAAAGCCAUAGAAGCGACGGCAGAGAACUUCGCAGAGUACGGGCAAUUGAUCGGAGCUACAGCGGACGGCGUUGAAUUCGGAGAUGAAGACGCCCAAUUAGACCUUAACAAUGGAAUCCCUAGGUUGUACAUCCUCCACAUUGAGAAUCGAGCAUUGGAAUUCUCGAAGAUAACGCAUCACGCGCGAGUAACGCAGUGCUUGGGAUCGGUGGAUCGAGAGGCUUGGUAUCUCGGAGUUGCGAAGGCGUCGAUUGUUGCGGAGGGGGAGAAUGGCGGAGGAGGGAGUUUGUGCAAGUCUGAG